ensembl:lncRNA
UCAAUAUUCUCAUACUUUGUUCUUGGAUGUCUUUAAUUUAUAUGGAAAGUUUGGUCCUUUGGGGUUUUCUUUUUAAGCUUUGCUAGCAGGACCAGAAAUAAAGGUUGUUUCGAUGGCUAAUUCAUCCUGAACACUGAGGCAAAAUCUUUCUGAGUCCUCCACCAUAUGCUGCCUGAAUUAUAGGUUUUCUAAUUUGUAUGGUGCAAACAGGCACUAUUCCCAGCUCUAUGCAAGCCCAGGUAUUAUUCCCUCUAAUCCUUUCAGGUGCUUCUUUCCCCAGCCUUGGGUAGUUUUCUCACUUGCUCUGAUUAGUAUUUAGCUAAAGACUCUCGGGGAACUUCAGAUUAUAAGGGAGGACCUCUGUGAGCAUCCAAGUGUGAACUAUUGAGAAGUUGAAGAGUGGAAAAACGUAAAUAAUGGAGGAAGUUUGCAAAGCAAAAGGGAAUAGGGAUUUCCCAGGAAUAAGUAAGAAGCACAGGGCUCAGGUGACAUUCAACACUGUCACUGUGAUGAAAGUCUGAACCCGGGUGAAGGAGAGAGGGAGAGAGGUAGGAUGGAAGCAUCCUAGACUGCAUGCAGCCUAAGGAAGAUUCAGCAAAGCCAUCAGCGAGUCCUUGCGUCCUGGCCCACAGUGGAGUUUCUCCGUGUCUUCCAGGAACGAGUCUGCCCUGGUAUUCCCACCACACCCAGUUAUUGGCAGGAAGAGCCUGUGGGAGGUGUGGCCUCGGUGCACAUGUGGAGAUGGUUUUAAAAAUGCAGCAGCUGGAGCCCUUGAUCAAUUAUUUCCUGUAAGAGGAGGUCUGCCAGCAGAGAGGUGGUGGCUGCCUGGAGGGCCGGAGGAGCAGCAGAGAACACAGCAGCCAACCCUGUCAGAGCGCCUACCCGCAUCCCCCAGCACUCAGUGGCUCAGUGCUCACAGACUUCCAACUGCAACGCAACCCUGUCAGAGCGCCUACCCGCAUCCCCCAGCACUCAGUGGCUCAGUGCUCACAGACUUCCAACUGCAACGCAACCCUGUCAGAGCGCCUACCCGCAUCCCCCAGCACUCAGUGGCUCAGUGCUCACAGACUUCAACUGCAACGCAACCCUGUCAGAGCGCCUACCUGCAUCCCCCAGCACUCCGUGGCUCAGUGCUCACAGACUUCAACUGCAACGCCUUGCUUAGGGACUUCCUAUGGCCUCUAGAGCUGGCAGUUAGUGUGGGCCAGGCAGGCAGAAAGUGCCUUGCCCGUAAUACCCCUGGAAACAGUCAAGGACUGGCUGGAGUUGGUGGAAAAUACCCUGGCGGAAGGCAACUCUGAGGCAUGCUCCAUGUGCCCUCGCAGAGGUCCCCAGUGGACCUGAGCCCCACCUGCCCGUGGAGCUAACCUGCUCAUUAGUGCACCACGCACUGGCUUCCUUCAGUUCCUUAUCUUAACUCCCCAUUCCCUUAUGAUGGGAUUGACUCCCAAAUCAAUGUUUUGCACUCAAAUCUUCCUCUCAGGGUCUGUGUCUGGGGGAACCUAACGUAAGACAAAUACCAUGCGUGAGGUUUAACAUGAGCACAGACCACGGAAGUGGCUGCUUGCACACCAGGUGUUUUGCAGCCCUCAUUUGAGUGUUGAGAAGAGAAGUCGUAGGUGUGUGGCUGUGCAACAUUGUGCUGUCAUCGGUAAAGUCAGGGAAGAAUAGCUACCUCCCAGGUUUUGGAAAAAAUAAACUACAUGAUUCUCCUGCAUGUGCUUUUCUUUUAACAACGUCAGAUUGUGUUUAUGAGUAAAGUUGAUAGAAGUUAGAUUGAUGCAUCUGUCCAAGGAUUGGCCUACAGAAAAUCAGUUCUCCUCAAAAAAUGAUACAGGAAGGGCUCAGCCAAUCCUGGCUGAUCCCAGACCUGAAUCCACCAGAGACAGUUAUUGCCAUCAUGAGAUGCUUAGAACAAAAGAACAUGGAUUAAGUUAGAACCUAUGUUCCAAGUCAGUCUCAACGUAAAAGUACUUUUCAAAACUUGAGGGAUGUAGCUAGCAUAUUGUUGGCAAAGUACUAAAGUCUCCUGAGUUAGUUCAGAGGAGAAGCAACAUACAAAAGGUGUUGAGAAAUGGUGGAGGGUGAGGAAGAACUCUGGAAACAAAAAAAAAGAGAAAGAUCUGAUUAUUUAGCCUCACCAAGGCUCAGUUUGUCCAUCUGUAAAACAGAGGUAAUGGGACCCUCAAGGUUGUAGCAAAGAAUAGAUGUUAAUGCGGUGCCGGGCACAUGGUAUUCACACAAUGCAUGCAAGCUGUAUUGUUAAUAUUAUGACUAUUUGGCUGAAACUGCAUAAACUAGCCUCAUGUCAUCCGCAAGAUUAUAACAUAGUUUACAUAAUUACAUGGGUUUGUUUAUACGGACUACUGCAGUCUUUUAAUUAUGCUCGGGAAUGCUAGAACUCAACAAUCGGGGCUCGUGGCUCUGAAGUUCCAUUAGUUCUGGCUGCACGAUUAUAUUGUAUAGUAAUCCAGUGUGUUUUUUUCCAAUAAAAGAUUGUGUAAAAAGUCUAUUCAUUUCUUACUGCUGCAGCAAGACAACAUCUUUUGGAGAGGAAGAUGUGGGGUUCCGUUUUAAAGGAAGCGAUUCC